rnacentral:lncRNA from 1 species
UUGAGUAUCUUCUAGUAGUAUUUCUAGUAGUAUUUAGUCAAGCGUGAUUUUUUUGGUAGUAGGACAUCGCCUCGGUCGCUAGAUGAACAUAGGACACAAGUUUUAUAUAGGUUCCGACCCCUUCACGCGGGAAUACCCCUGCUCCUGCUUAUAUGGGGUUAUAUCGAGACAAAGUAUAAAUAUAUAUUACGAUGGGGAUAUCGGCGAGCUGAGAAGUUAUCCCGAGUUCUAGAUGAGCGAUUUUGACGAUCUGGCUAAAGAGACAAAUAUAUAUC